CACACACACACACCCGCACACAAACAUACUUGCACAGUACAUGCACACUUUGUGUCAAUCAUUAAAACAGCUGAAUUAAAACUACAGGCAUCAGGAGGUCUUCACAGAGCCCCAAACUCUCUCAAUAUCUUAGGGAUCUCCCUCCCCUCACCUCUGGGACUUCUGACAUGAGAAAAGAUGCUCACAAGAAAAAGCCAGUUUUUCUAUUUUCAAAUUCCCGGUCCCUGAGGCUGGAAAUCGGUGUUCACAAAGUAUUCAGACAGGUGAAUUAAAAUAGCUUUUGGCUUGACGGAAAACCAGAGGCUUCCACCCAACCUCAUCUCGUCCCAGUGCUUGAGCCCCCCAACCCCGCACACCUCCCCCCCACAACGCGCAGCCCACUGAAGCGGUACCCAGUCUGGCCAAGCUGAGAAGGAGCUGCCGCCACCGAGAAAGAGCCGCGCGUCUUACCUGCUCUGCAGUCUGUUGGAAAUGCCAUUUGAGGAGUCUGAUGAGCCUGUGGGUCAGCAUUUGGGAACCACUGAGAUAAUGAACAGAAAGUGCUUCUCAGCCCAGGAACCCACACUCUUAGGAUCAGAGAUUCUUGGCUAGGAAGAAAGGAAGAUGCCCUUUCUAAAGAGAGCUCAUUGCUGGUUCACCACCAUAUUCUCCCUUUACCCUGGUGUAUUCAACCACAGAAGUAACUGGCAUGCCUGUUAGCUGUCUGGCUCUCCUGCUUACCCUCCUCAUAACUUGCAACAAAUAUCUCCUGGAGACUCUCCUGUGCAGCAGGCAGCAUCUGGCACCCGUGUCCUUCUGGCAUUCCAAUCAGCAAGGUGAUAUCACCUACCCCAUUCUACAGGCCUGGAAACUGAGAAGCAGAUAAAGUAGAAACUAGUUUAAAUUCCCAGACUGGGGUGCUAAUUCAGAUAAGGUGGCCCACAGAGCUGCAUGCUUCUUGAUUAAGUGGGACCCCACUUAAAACAUGAAGACCUAAUUUCUAUGUCAUGCUUUACUGAACAUGUUUACAAGAAGGACAUAUCUUUACAGAAAAGAGGUAAAGGAGAAAGAACUCAAAGCCUUGGACCUGGAGUCAGAAAUUAUGAGCUGCACAUCACGGGUGCUGGGAAAUAAACUUAGGGCUUCUACAAGAAUACUGCAAUCCUAACCUCAGGACUAUCUCUCUGGGAACUGAAUAAAGUCACAUGAUUACAUCUUUGGUCCAGUAAAGGUAGAAGAAAAUUGGCAUUAAGCUGUGUCUCCUUUCCUUUCCUUUCUUUUCUUUUCUUUUUUUUUGUUUGUUUUUUUGAGACAGGGUUUCUCUGUGUAGCUUUGUGCCUUUUCUGGAACUCACUUUGUAGCCCAGGUGGGCCUCAAACUCACAGAGAUCUACCUGCCUCUGUUUCCUGAGUGCUGGAAUUAGAGGCGUGUGCCACGACUGCCCGAUGAGCUGUGUCUCUUUCAACCAAAAUUACAUCCAAUAAUAAUGAUGUAAAACCUAUGUAUGGACACUGAAGUUCAUCCCAUGCUCAUCCCAUGCUCAGCAUUUUAAAAUCAUUUACUUGCAUCAUUUUAUUUAAUCUCUAUGUCAAAGUUUUUAUUCAUGCAUCCACCCAUUCAUUCCUCAUCUAAUUCAUCUAUAAAUAUUUAUGGAGUGGUAAAUUAUGUUCUAAGGAUUGUAUACUGUUCCCCAUACACAGUGAUUAAACACAAACAGGUAGCAAGCAAGCAAAUACUACUCAGACUAUUUCCUUGGAUGGAACUUGAAAUCAACUUAUUAUUAGAGACAGACUUGAAAACUAUCAGUCUGAAGCAGUUCUUACACAACCGAGUCCUACCAUAUUCACACUUUAGAGUUUAUCUCAGAGAAAUGGAAACUUAUAUUCAUACAACAAUGUGUACAUGAAAGCUCAUGGUGGUUUUAUUCAUAAUAACUAAAAUUAUGAAUUAUUUCAGAUAGAUUUCAAUAGGUGAAUGCUUAAGAAACAACAGUAUGUCCAUAUCAUGAAACACUAUUCAGCAAUAAAAAUAAACCAACUAUUGAUAAAUAACAGUGUAGAUGAAUCUCCACAGGGAUAAAGAAGUAAACUCCAGAGGUUAGCUAUUGCAUGGUUGUGAUUUUGAGGUAUCUACAUUUUGUUAAAGGAAGAAUUAGUACUUACCAAAAAUUAAGUCUUGGAAGGGUAGAGGUGGGUAUUAGGUAUAGCUAUGAAAGAACAAAUGAAGAUAUGGAACUGCUAUAUAUCUUGAUUAUGGUGGACACUGAUUCCCCACAUAUUAUAAAAAUUAGUAAACCUAGAGAAAUGUGAAUAAGAUCCAUGGAUUUUAUCAAUAUACACAUCUGGUAUGAAAUACUAUACUAUAAUGUUGUCAACAUGACAGUUAAGGAAACUAAGUAAAGGGGCUACCUAUUUAUAAUGAGUCAAAAUUUAUCUUAAUAAGCAUCCAGUCAAACAAAAAUUACAUGGUACAUUUUCUGAGGCCAGUAAUGUUUCAUGGUAUAAAGGAAAAAAUCAGGUAUUAACAGCACUAAAGGUGCUAUAGAUAGCAAGUAUAGCAACUGAAGGAUGAGGAGGUGAUGAGGAGCAUGGUGACUGGCAACUAUUCCCGGAAAGGAAGCCCUGUGGCCUAACCAGCGGUGGGCGUGUUCAGGCAGCAGAAGGAGCGUGGUGGAGAGGACACAGUAUGCAAAGAUGCGGGGAUGUUAUGCAGCUGUAUAAUAAAGCAGUAAUGAGCUGGAGAGAUGGCUCAGAGGUUAAGAACAGGGAUGGCUCUUUCAGAGGACCUGAGUUCUAUUCUU